AUUUUUUUUGUAACUUCAGAUGAGUUAGAUCCAUGAAAGCAGUGUUUCCCCACCGGGGGGGCGAGCACAUGGCAAGGGGUCCGUGGAAACAUGAAAUAAUUUAUUUCCAAGAAGUCAACAUUUUCAGUUAUUUCAUAAGCCUGUCAAUAAAAUGGAAUAUGUGUGCUGCAAUAUGUUUCCCUGGGAGACAAUAACUCGUGGCGAAGACGUGUUGGGUGAAGUUUCUCAUUAAAGCUCAGACGACUGAUUUAAAAAGGAAGUAAAACUGCUAAAGUGAGUCUGAAUAUUAUUCUUGGGGUUUUUUUGUUUUUUGUACAUGAUAUUCAGAGUUUAAAUGCUUGUUUAAAGUGGAUUUAUUCAAAGGUGCUGUUUCUUGUGAUCGAUAGUUAUUUAGGAAAAAAGGCAGGUCGAUGAGUUAUUUUGAUUUUAUGACAGACUGUAUUUUUACCUUUCGUAUCUUUAAAUUUCUUUCGUAAAAAGAGGCAAUAGUUUCCUGUAAUGACGUUUCGUAACUUGAAAAUUUCGUUUGAAGAGACGUUCGUAAGUAGAGGUACCACUGUAUUU